GUCACGCCUGCCCUGUGACAGAUAGUUUAACGGCCGCGGUAUUUUGACCGUGCAAAGGUAGCGCAAUCACUUGUCUUUUAAAUGAAGACCUGUAUGAAUGGCACGACGAGGGCUUGACUGUCUCCUUUUUCAAGUCAAUGAAAUUGAUCUCCCCGUGCAGAAGCGGGGAUAGACCCAUAAGACGAGAAGACCCUAUGGAGCUUCAGACACAAAAGUAGAUCUUGUUAAACCCCCUAAAACAAAAGACUAAACCAAAAGAACCCUACCCUAAUGUCUUUGGUUGGGGCGACCGCGGGGAAAAAACUAACCCCCAUGUGGAAUAAGAGAACUUCUCUUACAAACAAGAGCCACAGCUCCAGUUAACAGAAAAUCUGACCUUAAGAUCCGGCAAUGCCGAUCAACGGACCGAGUUACCCUAGGGAUAACAGCGCAAUCUCCUUUUAGAGCCCAUAUCGACAAGGAGGUUUACGACCUCGAUGUUGGAUCAGGACAUCCUAAUGGUGCAGCCGCUAUUAAGGG
rnacentral:rRNA from 1 species